UUAAAUCCAUUUUUUACAUUUUGAAACCUUUCAAUUUGUUACAAGAUAAGGUUAUGUACCACAAUUAAUUGUUAUUACAAAACCUUUGUUACAAACCAAAUGCUCUUAUACAAUUAUAAAUUAAGAUUCUACUACAAUCUAAAUUGAUCUUUCCUCCUCUUCUCCACCAGCUUACAUGGUUGCGUUCCACCUGCAAAAUCCUGCAAUAUCACAUUGACGGUUAGUGUAAUUCGUAAACAUAAUGCAAGCAAUGCUGAUUAUAAUUUUCAAAUCAUCUAACAUUCAAUAAUUAUCGCAAACUAACCAUAUUCAAGUAGGUUUCCAAUUGUUUUCCUAACUUCCCUUACAAACCCAACAAUUAACAACAACACACCACUCCUACACAUUCAAACAAAGACCACUGUUAUAGAACUGAGAAAUUCUGAGCCGUGAUCGUAGUCCGAAAGUGUCUCACUAACACUGUGAUCAUCACUGUUCCAAACUAGAGCUUAUACUAAACUGAAACAAACUCUGAAACUAAUCCCAUGCACUAGCUUGGCUAAUAGAACCCUGCGUAAUUCAUGAAAAAUCUUAAUAUAACACCAAGGUUUCAUUUGACAACAAAACCUGAACUAACAUUGGGUUAACAGAACUGGAAACCAGAGUAUAUCUAACCCUGCAAAAGUCACACGACAGAAGCUUAGCAUUUUCUUCACCAACACUAACAAGAAAAUAACCGCAACAAGAAAUUCUUUCAAAAACCUGUCACUACAGACAUUUAAUCAACUAAGCAUCCAUUUAGUUAAUUAACCGAGUUCAGUCUAAUACAAAAUAUGUCAUUUAACAUUGCACUCAGACUUAACACCAUUCAACUGAAAAUUUCACUUAACGAAUUGCAACUAUUCUAUUUGAUAAUUAACUAACGGAGAUGUUUCCUUUAGUUCAUUGCAACUAACUGUUAUAACUAACCCUAACAGAUUUCUUAACUAACUAAUUGGAAGAUAACAGUGUGAUAACAUUUAACAAAUUUGCACUUGAGAAAUCUAACUGAGACUAACAGAUUUAACAUCCAAAACUCUACAAGUACCUGGUUGCAUAAUUUCAAUAGGUGGUGGAAAAUCUUCAUUCUUCAAUCCCAGCACAAAAUCUGCAACUUCUCAUACUCAUCUAUUUUCCUUCUCUACAUAAAAUUUCUACUUUCUGCAUUCUGCAGCUUAUCACCCUGCAUUAUCUCGAUUCAAUCUCGGAUUUCUCUCUGAACUCCAUUACAGAACUGUCGCUCUUCAACCUCACGCAAGCACCUCUUCACAAAUACACUCUGAACGUCUCUCUGAACGAUAACAACGCACGUAAUCAAGAACUCAGAAGAAAAGAAGAAGAUAUUAAGAAGAAG
rnacentral:lncRNA from 1 species